rnacentral:snRNA from 1 species
AACGCUUCUAGGCCUUUUGGCUAAGAUCAAAGUCAAGAUCUUUUCAGCUUUUUAACUGAAACUUCCCUCAAUGAGGCACCAGUAUGUUAAAUUAAUGCCGUAUAUGCAUU